CUUUAACAUUCCAUUAAACCUCAGUCACUUGUGGGACUAUGUUUCAGGAUACAGUCUUCACCAGUUGUUCAAUCUUUUCUGGAGUCACAAUUGUUCUUCAUGGUCCUAAUUCCUGCUUCAUGGUCCCUGGAUGUGACAUCCCCAAUCCAUUUCUCUGAAUGCCUGAAUUCACUGGAAAUAUGUCUCUCACUCCCUUAGAAUUUAGCAGUGAAUCCAUCAAGGCCUGGGCUUUUCUUUGUUGCUUUAUUGUAGGAUCUUAUGUCUUAACAUAGAAGAUCAUGUCAUCUACAAAUAAAACUUCCUCGUGGAGAAGGCCAUAUGACAAGGAAUGGAAGAAGGCCUCUGACCAACAGCUAAAGAAGCAAUCAGAAGCAGAUGCAGAGAUGAAGUAUAUUUGCACAGAAUUUCCUGAAGUACUCUCAGGAGAGACUAAUUACAAGUCUGGAAGCAGCAGAAAAAUAUUGUAAAGAAGCUAUCAAAGGAACAAUUUCAGGUUCAGUGGUAGCCUCAGUCAGUCUUCUGGGG
rnacentral:lncRNA from 1 species